rnacentral:lncRNA from 13 species
AUGUUGUCUUGUGUUGUCUCGUGUUGUCUUGUGUUGUCUCAUCUCGUCUUGUCUCGUGUCCUCUCAUCAUCUCAUGUUGUCUCGUGUUGUCUCGUUUUGUCGUGUUAUCUUGUUGUCUCAUCUCGUGUUAUCUUGUCUUGUCUCGUUGUCUUGUCUCAUGUUGUCUUGUGUCGUCUCGCCUUGUCUUGUGUCGUGUCAUCUCAUCUUCUCGUGUUGUCUCAUGUUGUUGCAUGUUGUCUCGUGUUGUCUCAUCUCGUGUUCUCGUCUUGGUCUUGUCUCAUGUUGUCUCGUCUUGUGUUGUCUUGUCUCGUGUCGUCUCGUGUUGACUCGUCUUGUCUCGUGUUGUCUUGUGUUGUCUCAUCUCGUCUCGUUUUGUCUCAUCUUGUCUCGUGUUGUCUUGUGUUGUCUCAUCUCAUCUCGUGUCUUAUCUCAUGUUGUCUCAUCUUGUCGUGUUGUCUUAUCGUGUUGUCUCGUCUCGUGUUGUCUUAUCUCGUCGUGUUGUCUCAUGUUGUCUCGUGUUGUCUCAUCUUGCCUCGUGUUUUCUUGUGUUGUCUCGUGGUCUUGUCUUGUCUCGCCUUGUAUUGUCUCGUGCUGUCUUGUGUUGUCUUGUCUUGUCUUGUGUUGUCUCAUCUUGUCUCGUGUCAUGUCGUCUUGUCUCAUGUUGUCUCGUGUUGUCUCGUCUUCUUGUCUUUCUUGUCUCGUGUUGUCUCAUGUCAUCUCGUCUCAUGUUGUCUCAUCUUGUCUUGUCUUGUGUUGUCUCAUGUUGGCUUGUCUCAUCUUGUGUUGUCUCGUCCUGUCUCAUGUUGUCUCGUGUCGUCUCAGUUUGUCUCAUGUUGUCUCAUUUUGUCUUGUCGUGUUGUCUCAUCUUGUGUCAUCUCGUGUUGUCUCAUCUUGUCUUGUGUUGUCUUGUCUUGUCUCAUGUUGUCUUGUCUCUUGUCUUGUGUUGUCCUGUCCUGUCGUGUCUUGUCUUUUGUUUUGUCUUGUCCUGUUCUAUCGUAUUUUAUUUUAUUUUAUGUUUAUUUAUUUAUUUUAUUUUAUUUUAUUUUUUGGAGACAGAAUCUCACUCUGUAG